UAAUUAUUAGCUAAUUGGCUGGGAUGUAUCUCAUUUGUAACAAAUGAGGAGAGGAAGGCUCUGAGGCUGUGGCUGGUGGAGGCGGAGCUGUUUAACUCCUGGUUGAGCUGGCAUAAGAAGUUGCUAUCCUGGUCUCUGGGAGGGGGCUCUGUGGUGUGGUGAUGCCUUAUCGAGGUGUGUGUCCACAAGGAUUGGUGGGUGUCACCUGCAGGCUGUCACCCACCAGCCUUUCUUGCUCAUGGACCAGGCUUUUGGAGAUUGCCUGCCACGGUGCUUCAUGGGCUGAUGCCCUCAGCAAGACAGCAGUCAGGUGCCACACUAUCAGAAGGAUGUCCUUUCUGAACUUCUGACAUGAUUUAGCAGGCACAGACCGGUGUGGUCAGUGAAGUCACAUCCUGCAGCUUCACGUUGUGCGCCACAACCACGUGCUGCCAGGCCAAGAAGCCACCAAUGGGGUUCUCCAUCCAUCCCCCCUGGUGUCAGGCCCUCAAAGGACAGGCUGCAGUGCCAGGUGAGUGGUUUUAACACAGUUGACAGU
rnacentral:lncRNA from 1 species